UACGUAGGGGGCAAGUGUUGUCCGGAAUCAUUGGGCGUAAAGAGCGUGUAGGCGGCUCGGUAAGUCCGCUGUGAAAGUCCAGGGCUCAACCCUGGAAUGCCGGUGGAAACUGUCGAGCUAGAGUCCGGAAGAGGCGAGUGGAAUUCCUGGUGUAGCGGUGAAAUGCGCAGAUAUCAGGAGGAACACCAAUGGCGAAGGCAGCUCGCUGGGACGGUACUGACGCUGAGACGCGAAAGCGUGGGGAGCAAACAGG
rnacentral:rRNA from 1 species